UACGGAGGAUCCAAGCGUUAUCCGGAUUUAUUGGGCUUAAAGGGUGCGUAGGCGGUUUAUUAAGUCAGGGGUGAAAGACGGCAGCUUAACUGUCGCAGUGCCUUUGAUACUGAUGAACUUGAAUGUACUAGAAGUAGGCGGAAUGUGACAAGUAGCGGUGAAAUGCAUAGAUAUGUCACAGAACACCGAUUGCGAAGGCAGCUUACUAUGGUAUUAUUGACGCUGAGGCACGAAAGCGUGGGGAUCAAACAGG
rnacentral:rRNA from 1 species